UGAAGCAAUGAAGUCCAGUUAACCGUUAUGGAAAGGAGGGCAGGUGACAUCUUCUGAUUAAAAAUACCAAGAUUGUACCUGUCAGCCUGUGAAAGGGCUCCUUUCAACCUCAGCCUUUGAAAAAUAGUGAAGUCAUUGUCAGUUUGCCUUCACACCUAAAAAAAAAGACAAGCUAAUUAAAUGAACGUUAGCAGCUGCUAGUUUGACGUCAGUUAGCUAAGUUAACUUAGUUUUCCGGGACUGCUAACAGCUAAGCUUCCGCGCUUUUUUUCAUGAUAUGGACCACUUCAUCGCAGCGAAAGGAGGAGAAACGCCAUCACAGACAAGUAAUAGGUGGAUGUGUGUUCAUGGAUGCCACUUGGCCUGCCAUUACAUCUGGAUCUCCAUUGGGUGUAGAAGCUGCAGUCCAGUGCAGGUGGUUGAUGGCGGCUGAUCUCCACAGCUUCAGGUCAUUAUAUUCCCUCUCUUUCAAGAUGCAGCAGUGAAGUCCCGUCUCUUCACCUGCCCGAAAAACGCACCCAGGCAUGAACAACUAUCACCUUCCUUCCUUUUCAUGUUAGGAAAACUGUGGACUCGAUGUCCUGACAGGCUGGAAUUUGUGCAACCUGCACAAACACAAUAAUUCACCAUCAUGAAAUUGGUAAAUUGCAAAGAGAAACUAGAGAAAAAUGCUGACUCAUACAGUAACAACUGCUCAAACUAACUACCAUCUACUACUGCGCAGUGCACUGUAGAGGGAUCUGUGAGACUUACUGCCUUAUGUGAUGUAAUAUGACAUGAUGUUGAAAAAAGAAAGGUGUUUGUAGGAGCUUUGCUCAAAACGGCCUCUUUUUCCUCUGAAUUUGUGCCCUUAUGUCUUGUAAAACAUAUUUAAUCCUGCACUAACUUUUAAAAUGGUCAUUUUCAGACAAGGUUAAGUAUGAAUUUGGUAAAAAAUUCAACCUGCAAGUUGCUCUUUAAGCUUUACUGUAUAAUGAGUAAUUAGCUUUGAUGAGUAUCUAACUACAGUAUGUAUAGUAGGGUAUUUGUCUAGCAUAUACAGUAGAAAACAGGGGUGUGUAAGUCAUGUAUUUGAUACAUGCAGUGUAUUUUAAUGUGAACAUAGACUUAAUCUGUGAAGAAAUACUGAGUGAUCUUUGUAUUCCGCCCCUUGUAGGCUUCAUUUUCAAGUAUAGACUUUGCAAGAAGAUAGAUAACAGACGUGUUUGUAAGUCAUGUGUCAUGUAAAAGUAAAUCUGUAAUUAGAUGUGGUUUCUUAUAUUCCCCAACCAUGCAGCAGUAUUGCAAAUAUGUGACAUUUGUUCAUAAAAUGAUGGUAUUAGAAAUUAUAUCUCAUCUUUUAGAGUAUUUGUCUAACUUGGCUUCCUCACAAUUUUUUCUUGCACCACACGGUUUCCAAAAAUAGUAACUGGCUCCAGUAAAAUAACAGCUGCACCCAGUCUGGCCCUUGUGGUUUAAAUGGGCCAGAGCCACUGCUUUUUG